GAUGAUGAUGAUGAAGACGAGGAGAGCAUGCUGUCACACAUGGCUCCUGAUGACAGAUAAGAUGAGCUGGAGGUCCAGAGGUCCUGACAUUUCCUUAAUGCAUCUCUCCUCUUUCUUUUAUAAUUGGCUGCUGUUGAUAGAUUCCUCUUCUUUGCAUGCCAACACUAUGUAAUAACGCUCUGACAUCAGUCUCAGAGAGUGUUACCAUAUAUACACACCUGUGUCAUCACCGUUUGCAUGUCUCACACCAGCCAAAUCCUUUUUCUUAUGUUCUCAGGAAUCCUUCAUGUCCUGCAUGAAAUGAUGACUGACUCACGGGCAAUGGAAGGCAUCAUGAAUAGUGACACCGCCGAGGGGAACAAACAGCUCUUGCAGAGAGGCUGCGGUGAGGCUUUUUGCGGGCAGCCCGUCCCUUAGAGACAUCAAAGACCAGCGUUUUGUCAGGGACAAUGCACAGCAGCUGUGGAGAUGAGUGAAGACUGGCGUUUUAGGAGACAGCAUGUCUUACGCGCUAUCCCUCUCAAGUGUGCAAGAAUGAGUGAUGCUUGAAGUGUGUGUCUGGUCCUCACACACACAUACGAGUAUGCACAAACACAAACACACAAGCUUCUUAUGAACAGCUGGACUGUGACUGGAUCUCUGUGGUUUCACGUGGCUUAUGAGAAUGAGUGGCAUUAAUGCUGUGUUUGUCUUCUGCUGAUUUGCAGAGGAUACUGUGGCAUGUUUUUACAGCACUGUGUUGUUUGUGUUGGCACAUGCAUUAAAGUACUGAAUGUUAAUACUG